UACGUAGGGGGCAAGCGUUGUCCGGAAUUAUUGGGCGUAAAGAGCUCGUAGGCGGUUUGUCACGUCUGCUGUGAAAUCCCGAGGCUCAACCUCGGGCCUGCAGUGGGUACGGGCAGACUGGAGUGCGGUAGGGGAGAAUGGAAUUCCUGGUGUAGCGGUGGAAUGCGCAGAUAUCAGGAGGAACACCGAUGGCGAAGGCAGUUCUCUGGGCCGUAACUGACGCUGAGGAGCGAAAGCGUGGGGAGCGAACAGG
rnacentral:rRNA from 1 species